rnacentral:rRNA from 1 species
UACGAAGGGGGCUAGCGUUGUUCGGAUUUACUGGGCGUAAAGCGCACGUAGGCGGACUAUUAAGUCAGGGGUGAAAUCCCGGGGCUCAACCCCGGAACUGCCUUUGAUACUGGUAGUCUUGAGUUCGAGAGAGGUGAGUGGAAUUCCGAGUGUAGAGGUGAAAUUCGUAGAUAUUCGCAAGAACACCAGUGGCGAAGGCGGCUCACUGGCCCGGUACUGACGCUGAGGCACGAAAGCGUGGGGAGCAAACAGGG